GUCCUAGCCCUAAACGAUGAAGACUUGGUAUGGCGGGUACCAAUCCUGCCGUGCCGGAGUUAACGCAGUAAGUCUUCCGCCUGGGGAGUACGGUCGCAAUGCUGAAACUCAAAGGAAUUGACGGGGGCCCGCACAAGCGGUGGAGCAUGUGGUUCAAUUCGACGCAACGCGAAGAACCUUACCUGGGCUCGAAGCGCAGUGGAAUCCGGGUGAAAAUCCGGCGCCCGCAAGGGCCGCUGCGGAGGUGCUGCAUGGCUGUCGU
rnacentral:rRNA from 1 species